rnacentral:lncRNA from 1 species
GAAAUUAUUUUUGUUGCCUUGUUAUGUGAAGUGGGCACUUGGUUUUAUGUGUGGGCGCGUUGCGUAUAAUAUAGUUAGUGCAGGAUUGUAGGUAACCUUUCCUUAAAGUGUUUUGUCGUUCAGUACGGGAUAAGGUUGGGUUUGUAAGUUCUUUUAGGGUGUAUGCAUGGGUUGUGCUUGAAAAAGGGAGAAAGUGAGAGAAAAUCUAUAAGAAAGAUAGUGAGUAGGGUUGGUCUCGGGGUACUUAUGAGGGUGAGCCUUGGUUUUAUGGAAGGAAAGGAAAAGGGUACU